AGUGAACGCUGGCGGCAGGCCUAACACAUGCAAGUCGAGCGGCAGCGCGGGGGCAACCCUGGCGGCGAGCGGCGGACGGGUGAGGAAUGCGUCGGAAUCUGCCUCUUUGUGGGGGAUAACGUAGGGAAACUUACGCUAAUACCGCAUACGACCUACGGGUGAAAGUGGGGGACCGCAAGGCCUCACGCAGAGAGAUGAGCCGACGCCGGAUUAGCUAGUUGGCGGGGUAAAGGCCCACCAAGGCGACGAUCCGGAGCUGGUCUGAGAGGAUGAUCAGCCACACUGGAAAUGGGACACGGUCCAGACUCCUACGGGAGGCAGCAGUGGGGAAUAUUGGACAAUGGGCGCAAGCCUGAUCCAGCCAUGCCGCGUGUGUGAAGAAGGCCUUCGGGUUGUAAAGCACUUUUGUCCGGAAAGAAAAGCAUUCGGUUAAUAACCGGGUGUCAUGACGGUACCGGAAGAAUAAGCACCGGCUAACUUCGUGCCAGCCGCCGCCGUAAUAC
rnacentral:rRNA from 1 species